rnacentral:ncRNA from 1 species
AGAUGUGCGUAGAAGGGAAGAGUACGGUUAGAUCACGGUGUAAGAGAGCCGGGGUGGCUGGGAGCCGGUACCUGGUUUAGCUGGGAAGCCGUCCCUGAGCAGUCGGGCAGAAUCAAAAAGUAAGCCCGACCGGAGGUACCGUUAUCACCGGGGUCGUGCGACUCCAUAAGGCCGCAACCGUGAGGUAGCGGCGAAGAUGGGUGGUAACGCGAGCGGAAAGUCAAGCCUCUCGUCCCGUUG